UACGUAGGUGGCAAGCGUUGUCCGGAUUUACUGGGCGUAGAGAGCGCGCAGGCGGUCGUUCAAGUCGCGUGUGAAAGCCCCCGGCUCAACUGGGGAGGGUCACGCGAUACUGAUCGACUCGAAGGCAGGAGAGGGUAGUGGAAUUCCCGGUGUAGUGGUGAAAUGCGCAGAUAUCAGGAGGAACACCAGCGGCGAAGGCGGCGCUCUGGGCCGGAACUGACGCUGAGGAGCGAAAGCGUGGGUAGCAAACAGG
rnacentral:rRNA from 1 species